rnacentral:rRNA from 1 species
AACGAACGCUGGCGGCAUGCCUACCACAUGCAGGUCGAACGAGACCUUCGGGUCUAGUGGCGCACGGGUGGGUAAGGCGUGGGAACCUGCCCUUAGGUUGGGAAUAACUCCCGGAAAGGGGGGCUAAUACGGGAAAAUGUUUCGGGACAAAAGAUUUAUCGCUUUUGGAUGGGCCCGCGUUGGAUUAGCUAGUUGGUAGGGUAAAAGCCUACCAAGGGGACGAUCAAUAGCUGGUCUGAGAGGAUGAUCAGCCACACUGGGACUGAGACACGGCCCAGACUCCUACGGGAGGCAGCAGUGGGGAAUAUUGGACAAUGGGCGAAAGCCUGAUCCAGCAAUGCCGCGUGAGUGAUGAAGGCCUUAGGGUUGUAAAGCUCUUUUACCCGGGAUGAUAAUGACAGUACCGGGAGAAUAAGCUCCGGCUAACUCCGUG